rnacentral:lncRNA from 1 species
UAGGCCUCUUUCAGUUGUUUGAAAUCUGAUUUCAAAAGCUGCCUCUUUCUUCCUUCGUGUUGGUUGAUUAUCCCUCUUCCCUACAGAGAUUGGCGUGCAUACGAAGUAGAGAGUCUAUGCAUUCAGACCUUGCAAGCCAUCAUAUUCGAGUUCUCUUGGAGAUUUGGAUCCUUAUUCCACUAUGAUUUAGAUAAUUUAUGAAGGUUAUAAAUG